rnacentral:lncRNA from 1 species
GGCCGACGUUCCCACUGCUGCAAUGGAGGUCGUCGUCGAGGCUGCGGAUGUGAGGAGCACGGCGACACCGGCAGAGGAUCCACCACGCGGUGCAUCGGACUCAGAAAGGGUGGCCGCUGCACCUGUGUUGCAGCGUCCUGUACGGCCACCACGCCGACAGCGACCGCGACGGGUGGACACCCUCACAACCAUGUCGUCGCAGUGCGCCCGCAGCCUUGAACAGGGCGACGAGAUGCUCCAGGUUGG